GAUGAACGCUGGCGGCGUGCCUAAUACAUGCAAGUCGAGCGAACGGACGAGAAGCUUGCUUCUCUGAUGUUAGCGGCGGACGGGUGAGUAACACGUGGAUACCCUACCUAUAAGACUGGGAUAACUUCGGGAAACCGGCGCUAAUACCGGAUAAUAUUUUGAACCGCAUGGUUCAAAAGUGAAAGACGGUCUUGCUGUCACUUAUAGAUGGAUCCGCGCUGCAUUAGCUAGUUGGUAAGGUAACGGCUUACCAAGGCAACUAUGCAUAGCCGACCUGAGAGGGUGAUCGGCCACACUGGAACUGAGACACGGUCCAGGCUCCUACGGGAGGCAGCAGUAGGGAAUCGGCCGCAAUGGGCGAAAGCCUGACGGAGCAACGCCGCGUGAGUGAUGAAGGUCUUCGGAUCGUAAAACUCUGUUAUUAGGGAAGAACAUAUGUGUAAGUAACUGUGCACAUCUUGACGGUACCUAAUCAGAAAGCAACGGCUAACUACGUG
rnacentral:rRNA from 1 species